AUGGCCGCACGCUCCUCCGCGCCCCAAUCACCACCGCCACCGCGGAUCCUCGAGUACCAUCAACCUGGCACGCAGUCCAUGGCCGGCUCCCCAUGCAGUCCCCUUCUUGCUGCGAACGCGAAUCCGGUCAACCCCUUCCUCUUCUCCUUCUCUUCCUCCGGUGGAUCCUGCCGCUUGUCUCACCCGGGCGCACUUUCAGCCACCGGAGCCGUCGCCCCCGCCCCGCGCUCCGCCUUCCCAACCGGGAUCCUCCCGCCGACGCUGCAGGCCACGGCCCCGCGGGACCUCGUCCCCUCGGCGCUACAUGUUCAACUUCUACUUCGGCAGCAGCGGCGGAGACACACAACAGCGGCAGUGCCCAGGCCGUUCAACUUUGCCAUCUGA
rnacentral:rRNA from 1 species